AUUAAGAGUUCUAGAACAUGACUUGUAGUACUAUUGACAAUGGUAACUUACAAUACCAUCAGACAAUUAGAUGCAUAUGCCCUAACUGCCCUGGCACUAGCUUUGUGGACGAGGCUGCCCACCAACUCUCAGGGCUCACCUGCUUCUGCCUCCAGAAUGCUGGGAUUAAUGGUCACAACUGAAAAACAAGGACUAUAAACAAGAAGUUCUCAGGAACUUGAUCAACUUAAGCAUCCACCAAUGUCUUCAGACCUUUGGUAACAUCUGUAAGCUUGGUCAGAGCACAUGGCCUCUGAGAGAUGAUGAUCCUGAAAAUUCAAUGCAUUUAGAGGGGUGAAAUCUCCCAAAUGCUCACUCAAGUUUACAACAAUAGCAUUGGCUGAGGAAGAUCAAAUCCCAAUGUCCUAUUAAAAUCAACAUGGCAAAAUCAC